rnacentral:rRNA from 1 species
AGGAUCAUUACUAGAGCAAAGGAUAGACAGCGCCCGCGGAGCUCGCUCCCGGGGCUACCCUACGGGAGUAGGGUUUAGAGUCGUCGGGCCUCUCGGAGAAGCUCGGUCCUGAACUCCACCCUUGAAUAAACUACCUUUGUUGCUUUGGCGGGCCGCCUCGUGCCAGCGGCUUCGGCUGUUGAGUGCCCGCCAGAGGACCCCAACUCUUGUUUUUAGUGAUGUCUGAGUACUAUAUAAUAGUUAAAACUUUCAACAACGGAUCUCUUGGUUCUGGCAUCGAUGAAGAACGCAGCGAAAUGCGAUAAGUAAUGUGAAUUGCAGAAUUCAGUGAAUCAUCGAAUCUUUGAACGCACAUUGCGCCCUCUGGUAUUCCGGGGGGCAUGCCUGUUCGAGCGUCAUUAUAACCACUCAAGCUCUCGCUUGGUAUUGGGGUUCGCGGUUUCGCGGCCCCUAAAAUCAGUGGCGGUGCCUGUCGGCUCUACGCGUAGUAAUACUCCUCGCGAUUGAGUCCGGUAGGUCUACUUGCCAGCAACCCCUAAUUUUUUUAAGGUUGACCUCGGAUCAGGUAGGGAUACCCGCUGAACUUAAGCAUAUCAAUAAGCGGAGGAAAAGAAACCAACAGGGAUUACCUCAGUAACGGCGAGUGAAGCGGUAACAGCUCAAAUUUGAAAGCUGGCUCUUUUAGGGUCCGCGUUGUAAUUUGUAGAAGAUGCUUCGGGUGUGGCCCCGGUCUAAGUUCCUUGGAACAGGACGUCAUAGAGGGUGAGAAUCCCGUAUGUGACUGGGUGCUUUCGCUCAUGUGAAGCUCUUUCGACGAGUCGAGUUGUUUGGGAAUGCAGCUCAAAAUGGGUGGUAAAUUUCAUCUAAAGCUAAAUAUUG